CGCCUAACACAUGCAAGUCGAGCGCGAAGGUAGCAAUACUGGAAAGCGGCGCACGGGUGCGUAACACGUAGAUAAUCUGCCCUUCGUUGGGGGAUAACGUUCCGAAAGGAGCGCUAAUACCGCAUACAGCAUUCUGGGGUUCGCCUUGGGAUGGCAAAGGCCGGGAUCGCAAGACCGGUCGACGAAGGAGGAGUCUGCGGCCCAUCAGCUAGUUGGCGAGGUAAUGGCUCACCAAGGCAAAGACGGGUAGCUGGUCUGAGAGGAUGAUCAGCCACACUGGUACUGGAACACGGACCAGACUCCUACGGGAGGCAGCAGUGGGGAAUCUUGGUCAAUGGGCGCAAGCCUGAACCAGCCAUUCCGCGUGCAGGAUGAAGGCCCUCGGGUUGUAAACUGC
rnacentral:rRNA from 1 species